AUUGAACGCUGGCGGCACGCCUAACACAUGCGAGUCGAGCGGCAGCGAGACUAGUAGCAAUACUAGUUGUCGGCGAGCGGCGGACGGGUGAGUAACACGUAGGAAUCUGCCCUUAAGCGGGGGAUAACCAAGGGAAACUUUGGCUAAUACCGCAUAAUCUCGAGAGAGCAAAGCUGCCCGCAAGGGUGGCACUUGAGGAGGAGCCUGCGUCCGAUUAGCUAGUUGGUGGGGUAAUGGCCUACCAAGGCGAUGAUCGGUAACUGGUCUGAGAGGACGACCAGUCACACUGGGACUGAGACACGGCCCAGACUCCUACGGGAGGCAGCAGUGGGGAAUAUUGGACAAUGGGGGCAACCCUGAUCCAGCGAUGUCGCGUGAGUGAAGAAGGCCUUCGGGUCGUAAAGCUCUUUAGGUUGGGAAGAAGGGUAUUGGCUGAAUAAUCCAGUACUUUGACGGUACCGACAGAAUAAGCACCGGCAAACUCUGUGCCAGCCGCCGCAGUAACAC
rnacentral:rRNA from 1 species